AACGAACGCUGGCGGCAUGCCUAACACAUGCAAGUCGAACGAGACCUUCGGGUCUAGUGGCGCACGGGUGCGUAACGCGUGGGAAUCUGCCCUUGGGUUCGGAAUAACAGUUAGAAAUGACUGCUAAUACCGGAUGAUGUCUUCGGACCAAAGAUUUAUCGCCCAGGGAUGAGCCCGCGUAGGAUUAGCUAGUUGGUGGGGUAAAGGCCUACCAAGGCGACGAUCCUUAGCUGGUCUGAGAGGAUGAUCAGCCACACUGGGACUGAGACACGGCCCAGACUCCUACGGGAGGCAGCAGUGGGGAAUAUUGGACAAUGGGCGAAAGCCUGAUCCAGCAAUGCCGCGUGAGUGAUGAAGGCCUUAGGGUUGUAAAGCUCUUUUACCCGGGAUGAUAAUGACAGUACCGGGAGAAUAAGCCCCGGCUAACUCCGUGCCAGCAGCCGCGGUAACAC
rnacentral:rRNA from 1 species